UACGAAGGGGGCUAGCGUUGCUCGGAAUCACUGGGCUUAAAGCGCGUGUAGGCGGGCCGGCACGUCGGCUGCUGAAAUCCCCCGGCUCAACCGGGGAAGGGGCACCGAUACGACCGGCCUGGAGGGGGGUAGGGGGGACGGGAACUUCCGGUGGAGCGGUGAAAUGCGUUGAGAUCGGAAGGAACGCCCGCGGCGAAAGCGCGUCCCUGGACCCCACCUGACGCUGAGACGCGAAAGCCAGGGGAGCGAACGGG
rnacentral:rRNA from 1 species